rnacentral:rRNA from 1 species
UGGGGAAUAUUGCACAAUGGGCGAAAGCCUGAUGCAGCAACGCCGCGUGAAGGAUGAAGGCCUUUGGGUCGUAAACUUCUGUCCUUGGGGAAGAAAAAAAUGACGGUACCCCUGGAGGAAGUCCCGGCUAACUACGUGCCAGCAGCCGCGGUAAUACGUAGGGGGCGAGCGUUAUCCGGAAUUAUUUGGCGUAAAGAGUACGUAGGUGGUUUUUUAAGCGCAGGGUUUAAGGCGAUGGCUCAACUGUCGUUCGCCCUGUGAACUGGAAGACUUGAGUACAGGAGAGGAAAGCGGAAUUCCUAUUGUAGCGGUGAAAUGCAUAGAUAUUAGGAGGAACACCAGUGGCGAAGGCGGCUUUCUGGACUGUAACUGACACUGAGACGCGAAAGCGUGGGUAGCAAACA